rnacentral:lncRNA from 1 species
GUACCUAUAGCUCGUGCUAGGGUUAACUUAAUGAUCGAGAGUAGGCUAUAGCUUCUUUGUGGGACGUAGCUUAUAUACAUGGUGCUCAUAGUACUUUUUUAUUGAGCUGAUGCUUUACUUAUACAUAAGUAGUAUAUUAAUUAAACAACUACCUGGUGACAGCUUAGUUUCGUGGAUUAGUUUAGUUUUGACUAUCGUAGAAUUGAUUCGACAUGGAUGCUGUGCCCACACCUCGGGAUAACCACAACCACACCCUAAAGAAAACAACUCAUUAGGGCAUGUGUUGAGAACCAGCGCCGAAUUGUCGUCGAAACACCCCCUCCAUAUAUGAAGAAGGGGGCUUGGCGAGUAAGGCAGGUAUGAUAAAAGGAUUUUGCAUUGGCAUCACUGAUCAGAUGCGUGUGUCAACAUUUUCUCUUUGGUCAGUAUGGGAUUUGUUCUUAAUUAAGCCUUACUAAUCUGAGCUCAUCGACUCCUAAAUAACUUGAAAAGUCUUCAAUUUCAGUGAAAAUAUAAAUCUAUCUAAUUAUAUAGUUGUAUAUAGUUUGCAAGGGGCCAACUACUAUCUCAUACAUCUCCACCACAUCCCUCAUAAAACCUCAUAUCACCAAAAAAAAUUAUUGCUGCUACCAGCCUACCACAUCAGCCAACUCCUACCAGUGUUGCACUCCCCUUAUCCUCUAGCCAAGGAUAAUUUCUACAUUGUAAUCAUGCUCUACCUCCCUG